rnacentral:tRNA from 1 species
AGCAGAGUCAGCUAAAUAAGCUAUCGGGCCCAUACCCCGAAAAUGUCACCCCAGACCUCUACUA